rnacentral:lncRNA from 1 species
CUACAUAGCAUUCCGCCCCAGGCAGGAACUUAGCAGGUCUUCAAUCUUCUGCAGGUUAGCCCAAACUCUUGCUUUAUUUUACCUACUGAUUUUCUUUCCUCAAUUUAUUUUCGAUCCGGGUAACUUCAUGGAUGCAAGCUGCUUCCACCUGAUUCCCUUGCAGUUUCCUUCUUUUGCAAACUUCUUCUAGUUCUGUUUCAGCGUCUCUAAUUUAUUCACGUAUUCGCAUGUAAAUACAGUCAAGGAGCUGAACAAGCGCCUUUUUCUAUGGAUUGCAAAAAUUAGGCGGUGUUCUUCUCGACUGCUCCAAUCUCUAAUUUAUUCACGUAUUCGCAUGUAAAUACAGUCAAGGAGCUGAACAAGUGCCUUUUUCUAUGGAUUGUAAAAAUUAGGCGGUGUUCUUCCCGACUGCUCCAAUAAAUGUGUCUGCACCUCAUUCCUUAUUGAAAAUGAUAUGAUUGAC